AUGAAAAUGAUAUGUUGGAACUGCCGAGGUUUGGGUCAACCUUGGACAGUUCAAGAACUUGUGUGCCUUUCAAAGACACACCGGCCUAACAUUAUCUUUCUUUCUGAAAUAAGAAAAAAAUAAAGAGUAGUUGAGAGUUUGCAUUACCGCUUGGGUAUGAAAAAUAUUUUUACUGUUUCUAUGCCAGGCAAAGGAGGUGGAUUAGCGGUCUAUUGGGAUGAUCUCUACACUCUGGAGUCAAACAAAUAUGGGGAAAAUUUUAUUGACAUGUACAUCUCUAAUGAUGCUUGCACUAAGUGGAGAUGCACUUUUAUCUAUGGGUAA
rnacentral:rRNA from 1 species